CCUACGGGAGGCAGCAGUGAGGAAUAUUGGUCAAUGGCCGGAAGGCUGAACCAGCCAUGCCGCGUGAAGGUCAGUGCCCUAUGGGCGUUAAACUUCUUUUGUGCGGGAGCAAUAAUGGUCACGUGUGGCCAGACGAGAGUACCGUACGAAUAAGCAUCGGCUAACUCCGUGCCAGCAGCCGCGGUAAUACGGGGGAUGCAAGCGUUAUCCGGAUUUAUUGGGUUUAAAGGGUGCGUAGGCUGUGAGGUAAGUCAGCGGUUAAAUGCACCCGCUCAACGGGGUGAAGUGCCAUUGAUACUGCCUUGCUGGAAUGCGGAUGCCGUGGGAGGAAUGUGUGGUGUAGCGGUGAAAUGCAUAGAGAUCACACAGAACACCGAUUGCGAAGGCAUCUCACGAAUCCGCGAUUGACGCUGAUGCACGAAAGCGUGGGUAUCAAACAGGAUUAGAUACCCUUGUAGUC
rnacentral:rRNA from 1 species